rnacentral:tRNA from 1 species
AACGAUAUAGUUUAAUAGGAGAUGGCCGCUCUGCAAGCGGUCGGUGAAGGAUUUCUAUCGUUA